UUGAAAAACACCAGGGCUGUACUUGAAUUAUCCAGUCCUCAGGCCUACAGAGGGUGUUAGCUUGGGCUCUCUCAACAGCUUCAAAUGGAAAACUUUGAAGACCUGUGGUUCUCCCAUUACCUGCAUCCUGUUCCUGAUGACACAAGUUGGAAUAAAGCCUGCAGUGAGACCUGUGCCAAAGGCACCAAGCAGGAUGUUAUACUGCUACCCUCCCCUCCUUUUCACCAGGACUAAUGCUCUGCCUGUGUAUAUUUAUCAGUGGGAUACAUUUGAAGCGGCCUCAAACUUGAUCUCUGCAUUCAUUUUCCUGUCCUAUAA